rnacentral:rRNA from 1 species
UACAGAGGUCUCAAGCGUUGUUCGGAUUCAUUGGGCGUAAAGGGUGUGUAGGCGGCGCGCUAAGUCGGGUGUGAAAUUUCGGAGCUUAACUCCGAAACUGCAUUCGAUACUGGCGUGCUUGAGGACGGGAGAGGAGACUGGAAUUUACGGUGUAGCGGUGAAAUGCGUAGAUAUCGUAAGGAAGACCAGUGGCGAAGGCGGGUCUCUGGACAGUUCCUGACGCUGAGGCACGAAGGCCAGGGGAGCAAACGGG